rnacentral:rRNA from 1 species
GAUGAACGCUAGCGGCAGGCUUAAUACAUGCAAGUCGAGGGGCAGCAUGAGUAGCAAUACUUGAUGGCGACCGGCAAACGGGUGCGGAACACGUACACAACCUUCCUUCAAGCGAGGAAUAGCCCAGAGAAAUUUGGAUUAAUACCUCAUAGCAUAUUAGAGUGGCAUCACUUCUAUAUUAAAGAUUUAUCACUUGAAGAUGGGUGUGCGGCUGAUUAGAUAGUUGGCGGGGUAACGGCCCACCAAGUCUACGAUCAGUAGCUGAUGUGAGAGCAUGAUCAGCCACACGGGCACUGAGACACGGGCCCGACUCCUACGGGAGGCAGCAGUAAGGAAUAUUGGUCAAUGGACGAAAGUCUGAACCAGCCAUGCCGCGUGAAGGAUGAAGGUCCUCUGGAUUGUAAACUUCUUUUAUAUGGGACGAAAAAAGGUCAUUCUUGAUCACUUGACGGUACCAUUUGAAUAAGCACCGGCUAACUCCGUGCCAGCAGCCGCCGUAAGAC